rnacentral:rRNA from 1 species
UAGGGAAUCUUCGGCAAUGGGGGCAACCCUGACCGAGCAACGCCGCGUGAGUGAAGAAGGUUUUCGGAUCGUAAAGCUCUGUUGUAAGAGAAGAACGUGUGUGAGAGUGGAAAGUUCACACAGUGACGGUAACUUACCAGAAAGGGACGGCUAACUACGUGCCAGCAGCCGCGGUAAUACGUAGGUCCCGAGCGUUGUCCGGAUUUAUUGGGCGUAAAGCGAGCGCAGGCGGUUUAAUAAGUCUGAAGUUAAAGGCAGUGGCUUAACCAUUGUUCGCUUUGGAAACUGUUAAACUUGAGUGGAGAAGGGGAGAGUGGAAUUCCAUGUGUAGCGGUGAAAUGCGUAGAUAUAUGGAGGAACACCGGUGGCGAAAGCGGCUCUCUGGUCUGUAACUGACGCUGAGGCUCGAAAGCGUGGGGAGCAAACAGG